UUAACAUUACUUGUUCUUUGCAACACCGUAUUCUUGAACACAUAUGAUUCAAACUGAGGCCACAGAGAACAAAAUCCUUGUCCAGGCAUGAACAGCUAGAGAAACUUUAAAAGAAUUUAUAGUCCUGGGAACAUUGAAUACGCUGUGCAGAUUACAUAAUAAGAUGCUCGGACAAUCCCGAACAUUCAAAAUACUGCGAAUUCAGAUACCGAGCAGACGAUUUUUAAACAAUAAACUACAAAUUACAUUUGUAACAAAUCAUUCAGAUGGUAUACAAGUGCUAUAUUAUAUUAUUUACGAUUUUUUUAAAUUAUUUAUUCUUUUUCCAUAUUCACAUAAUUAUCAGUAAUAGUAAUGAAGAUACAUAUUAAUCAUUUUAUACAUUCUCACACUCUUUCACACUACUAGUUCAGCAUAAUUGGUUGAAUACUUCAUACUUCUUAUUCUAGGUUACAGAUCAAAAAUAGUUUUCCAGUUUUCCCAAAGUCUGUCAAAUUUCAAAACUUCACAUGAUUUAAUUGCUACAAAUUUUUCAACUUUGUAUUUGAAAAAAAGAUAAUGUAUCAGCCCAGUAAUAUGAGGAGUUUUGUUUUGUUUUGAACAAUUGAAAAUAUAUUGUUUGGUAUACAGAAUUAUGAAAUUAACAACUUUAUUACACAAACUGAUACUGAUGAUUACUAAUUGAGCGUAAGACUCAAUUACAUGUAAGGCUGAGGAUUAUUAUGCAAUCUGUCUCAGAGAAGAGGAAUUGAUACACAUCUAGUAUGAUGUACAGGCUCUCAACGUAUUGAAUAUUUGUAAUAUAAAGUUGUCCUUCUGUAAACACACUGUUUAAAGGAAAACGAUUUUCCCCCCAUUAUAUAUAUUUAAAACGUCGAGAGCUUGCGGUAUGGUGUAUUUCAAUCAGACCAAUCUCACUGCAUAGUUUAGAGUCAGCAUUUCGCAAAUUCUAUGGUUGUUAUAACGAUCUAAUUUACCAAAACAACCUGUCAUUGGGUCAAAUGUUGCCUGAAAUGUUUCAUACCAUAUUGAGACAGUUCUUUACACACUGAAUAUGACUACGGAUUACUCCGUUUACCCGAUCAAGACAUAGGGCUCACGGCGGGUGUGGCCGCUCGACAGGGGAUUCUCCUCCGUGGCACCUUUGGUUUAUCCAGGGGUCCGUGUUUGCCCUAUUUUUAAUUUUGUAUUAUAUAUAGGAGUUAUGAGAUAGAUCGAUAUCACUGUUCGUUAUUUUCACCUAACCAAUAACAGCUAUAUAGGAUUGACCAGAAAUGUGUUGCAAAUCUGGAUAAUUUUUUUUUUAACAAACUGGAGUUGGAGAAACUUGUAACUAACUCGCAAUUUUUUUUCCAUUAGUGCGGGCUCAAAUGUGAGAGUGAAAGAACAGGAUCACGAAUAAGAGAUAACAUGAUUGGCUUUUUUUUUGUUUGUUCACUCAUAUAGUGACGUCACCUGUUGUAGGUGAAAUGCCACAAAUUUUUAUCCAUGUAUGGAGCUCAGGGCGGCAGCAGUGAGAGUUCUUUUUAAGGUCAUAUCCGAAAGACCCAUGAUUUCUAACGCCGGAUGCUCAGAGAAGAAACAGUCAUUUCUUAUGAUUUUAACAUAUUUCAUUGUAUAAUACAUGUAGUAGGCAAUAUACAAAAUGAUUGGACACAAUUUCAGACAACUUACACGUUAUGACUGACAACACACUGAUGUGACGUUGUGCGCAUUGUUGGUGUCAAUUUCAGUAACGUCAAAAUAACGUUAAUUAUUUGAUUUAGAAAUAGAAACAAUUUUAAAUACUCACUUUAUAAAAAGAUAAAUUGAUACUAUCAUUUAUGUAAGGAGAUUUGUAUGUUUUUAAAACUUAUGAAUAUAUAAAAUAUCAUUCAUACAUGUAAAUACACUAAUACAAUGUGGAAAAUUUAAGUGCAUUACAAUGAACACAUUAUUUGAAGAAAAAAUAUUAAAAUGACACUUGUAAUACAGGUGGUUAAAAAUUCUAGUUUGAUUAAUAUAUUUGCUCACUGAAUAAAAGUACCUUGAAAACCCAUAUAUGCCUUACAUAUGUUUUUAUUCACGUAUCAGAUCUGUUUGGGGUGCUUGUAUGGCAAUAUGCAUUCACAAAUCUAGAUUGAUUGAUAAAUAGUUGAAGUGCAGAUGAAGCAAACAUGAAUAUUGUUAGAUUUAGAGUUUCAAUAGUUUGUGUAGAUCUUUGAAACUGCCAUUCCGGAGAGUACAUGUACCUACAAUAUUUUUGUAUAAAAUCGUAAAUGUAAUUAACAAUAUUUGAUUUGUAUUGAAUGAAAAUGAAACUUAGUGAAAACAGCAAUUAAGAUUGUGAACCCUGUUAUUCAGAACUUUUAUACAAGUUAUCAAUAAGGAAUAAUUCUAACAAAACAAUGAAAAUAAAUUUCUCAUUUCCCCAUAUGCACAUUUGAUUUAACGAAAGACUAAAAAAAUCCAAUUUCCCCAGACGCACUAACACAACCAUAAAUAAAUCGCGCGCACUGCCGACAAUAUCGAUCUGUUUACACUUAGUGGCAUACAAUGACAAUAUGCACACGAACAAAUGCAACCACUUAAAAAUUCAUCAAAGUUUAAAGCGUCUGACUAGGAUAGAGUUACUAAAUUUUGAAAAUUAGUCAGACGCACGUGUGGCGGGUCCUUGAAUCUCGUUGUAAACAUUGAGAAAGUCACGUCCGAUCAUAUUGACGAUUUCUGCAGCGCAUUCUUUGUCAGGCGAUCAUUAACAACGAGUACUACAACUGCACUGUACUCAAAGGAUGUGUUUUAUCUGUGUCAACAGACAUGUUCAGUCUAAUAAGGUCCUGUGCCUCAGAGUUCCACUAAACCCCAGAAGCCUUAGCUAGGCAACAUCUUGGGAAAGAGUUCAUCACAGGGUCAAUUUUUAUUUAAUUUUUUUUUUUUUUACCACAGGGUCACUUUGAGAUCAAAUACAAAGAAUAAUUACAUAAAGUCAGUAUAUAUGUAAAUUUAAACAAAAUACCAUUGGAAAAUAGGAGAUAAUCAUAGUUUUGAAAUAGAGAAUUUACAAUAGACAAAAAAAUCUUGUGAACGUUUAUUGUAAAAACAAAUUUUCAAUAAAAUCUCUGAUUCAGCAGACUCAGCAUUGGCGUAAACAGACAUUGAUGAGCCGGGUUCACAUGAAAUCAUGUACACGUGGCAAACCAGCCGUUUGAGGUGUCUGCGUGCUUAUCAACAUUUUCCAUGGCCGACCAAGUAGGUCAAGGAAAAGCGAUUCACAUUGUUUGUAAACAAUACCACGUGGUGAAUGGAGAGGGUUUAUAAAGCGGCGGCGCAGCUGUUCGUCAUAGUACGAUUUCCCGCUACAAUUAAAGAUUUAAGAUGGAUAGAAGAGAACUGAGAAACUACGUGGACAUGCCACAUUUCCACCCUGAAACAAACAUAAUGAAAGGAGUGGAUGUUUACAAAAAUGGUCGAUUCCGACACGAAAUCAAACACGACCUGGAGCAGAAAAAGACAAGCGCCCCGCUCCCACCACUAAGGAUACGAUCCUAUAGCGUGGGGUCUGAGGGCGAGCCCGCCUCUCCAGUCGUUGGAUCCCCCUCAUCAACUGGGUCGUCGUCCUUCACUGGAGGAAUUCUGACCAAGGCAUUUCAGACGGACAUGUUGCAUUUGAAGGGUGAUAAACACCUGAAGCAUGAACUAGACUUCAAAUGGCAAUAACCUCAUGUGAUCUCAAACUACUCACGUCAACGAUAUGGAUGUUUUCUGUACCGUGUACAGUGCAAUAACUGUUCUCAGCUGUUUGCUUUUCAGAAAGGCAAACAUUAUCAAUUGUAUAUUGGUUUUAUGUUUUGUAUUUUAUUUCUUUGAUCAUCAUUUACACAUGCAGUAUUUUGUAUACUUUUUUUAUAUUGAAAUAAAUUUGAUAAACAUAA